UACGUAGGGGGCUAGCGUUGUCCGGAAUUAUUGGGCGUAAAGAGCUCGUAGGCGGUUUGUCGCGUCUGUCGUGAAAGCUUGGGGCUUAACCCCAAGUCUGCGGUGGAUACGGGCAGACUGGAGGUAUGCAGGGGAGAACGGAAUUCCUGGUGUAGCGGUGAAAUGCGCAGAUAUCAGGAGGAACACCGGUGGCGAAGGCGGUUCUCUGGGCAUGUCCUGACGCUGAGGAGCGAAAGUGUGGGGAGCGAACAGG
rnacentral:rRNA from 1 species